rnacentral:rRNA from 1 species
CCGUAGCCCAAGAGAUCGGGAUAACACCUGGAAACAGAUGCUAAUACCGGAUAANAACAGAUGAUGCCUAUCAACUGUUUAAAAGAUGGUUCUGCUAUCACUCUUGGAUGGACCUGCGGUGCAUUAGCUAGUUGGUAGGGUAACGGCCUACCAAGGCGAUGAUGCAUAGCCGAGUUGAGAGACUGAUCGGCCACAUUGGGACUGAGACACGGCCCAAACUCCUACGGGAGGCAGCAGC